UACGUAGGGUGCGAGCGUUAAUCGGAAUUACUGGGCGUAAAGCGUGCGCAGGCGGAUUGUUAAGCAAGAUGUGAAAUCCCCGGGCUUAACCUGGGAAUGGCAUUUUGAACUGGCAGUCUAGAGUGCGUCAGAGGGGGGUGGAAUUCCACGUGUAGCAGUGAAAUGCGUAGAGAUGUGGAGGAACACCAAUGGCGAAGGCAGCCCCCUGGGAUGACACUGACGCUCAUGUACGAAAGCGUGGGGAGCAAACAGGAUUAGAUACCCUGGUAGUCCACGCCCUAAACGAUGUCAACUGGUUGUUGGACGGCUUGCUGUUCAGUAACGAAGCUAACGCGUGAAGUUGACCGCCUGGGGAGUACGGCCGCAAGGUUGAA
rnacentral:rRNA from 1 species